UUUCUUCUCUGAAGUAGAACUUUAAGUAAAGUUAUGGUACAGAUUAACUUUAAGGAUUUUAUGCCAACAUUUUAUUGUGAACUGAAAGGAUUUCAUCCCAGCUGAAUAACCAAGAAUAUAAUGUUUUCCAUGGGAGAUUCACCAAGACAUAAGGAUUCUGAUAAUCAGAUGGCUGCUGAGGCUCCAGAAUUAGAUAAUCUUGAAUGGAUUGUUUAUGAUGCCAAAAGAUCGUUUCAACCCGUUUCUGCUUGGCUAGAAGAGUGGGCUCCUUCAAGAGUAACCAAGUCUCCCUCAACAUUCACGUUUUCAGCUUUCGCGGGCUUCACACAUUCGCGAAUUCUCACCCGCCAAAUUCCCAGCCACCAAAUUCCCAGCCGCCAAAUCAUAUUUAAGUUUUCCGUCACCUGCGAGUCCCUACUACCCUCCCACUGACCCCCGCAACUGGCAGCCAGCCCUCCCACCACUGUGUGAUUGAGUGCAACUGGAGUGGUAGUGGCAGUGGUUAAGGCAGCGAUUGAGGCAGUGGGUGAGGCAGCUGUUGAGGCAGCGAUUGAGGCAGUGGUGAGGCAGCGAUUGAGGCAGCGAUUGAGGCAGCUGUUGAGGCAGCGGUUGAGGCAGCUGAGGCAGCGAUGGAGACAGUGGGUGAGGCACCUGUUGAGGCAGCGAUUGAGGCAGUGGGUGAGGCAGCUGUUGAGGAAGCGAUUGAGGCAGUGGUUGAGGCAGCUGUUGAGGAAGCGAUUGAGGCAGUGGGUGAGGCAGCUGUUGAGGCAGCGAUUGAGGCAGUGGUUGAGGCAGCGGUUGAGGAAGCGAUUGAGGCAGUAGGUGAGGCAGCUGUUGAGGAAGCAAUUGAGGCAGUGGUUGAGGCAGCGGUUG